rnacentral:rRNA from 1 species
CACGUAGGGCGCAAGCGUUGUCCGGAAUUAUUGGGCGUAAAGAGCUCGUAGGCGGUCUGUUGCGUCCGCUGUGAAAACCCGGGGCUUAACCCUGGGCUGGCAGUGGAUACGGACAGACUAGAGGUAGGUAGGGGAGAAUGGAAUUCCCGGUGUAGCGGUGAAAUGCGCAGAUAUCGGGAGGAACACCGGUGGCGAAGGCGGUGCUCUGGGCCGGAACUGACGCUGAGGAGCGAAAGCGUGGGGAGCGAACAGG